rnacentral:rRNA from 1 species
UACGAAGGGGGCUAGCGUUGCUCAGAAUUACUGGGCGUAAAGCGCACGUAGGCGGCUCUUUAAGUCGGGGGUGAAAUCCUGGAGCUCAACUCCAGAACUGCCUUCGAUACUGUAGAGCUUGAGUUCGGGAGAGGUGAGUGGAACUGCGAGUGUAGAGGUGAAAUUCGUAGAUAUUCGCAAGAACACCAGUGGCGAAGGCGGCUCACUGGCCCGAUACUGACGCUGAGGUGCGAAAGCGUGGGGAGCAAACAGG